AAUGUUGUGCAUUUGCAGGUCGAGUGCGCCGAGACUUUCGAGAAGGCGAUAUGAGCUCAAUUUUGAGGCCAGCUUGCUGGUACCCGGAUUGGAGGAAUGUUGUUCGUUUUGGAUGUGAUUCGGGAAAGGUUUUCGGGCUCGUAUGGGUUCGAGUCGGUGUGGGGUGGCAGUUGCAUGCAACAUGUGCCUUCUACCGAUUCGGUCCUGUGCGAGCUCACAAUCCCACUCUCGGCGUAAAAGUUGGUCAUCUAUCCGACCCGUCUUGAAACACGGACCAAGGAGUUUAUCGUGUGCGCAAGUCAUUGGGUGUUGAAAACUCAAAGGCGCAAUGAAAGUAAAGCAUCCGCAAGGAUUUGACGUGUGAUCUGAGCAAUCACGGUUGUCUGGAGCAACAUGGCCCCAUUCUGGCCGCUUGCGGCGGGGUGGAGGAAGAGCGUACGCGGUGAGACCCGAAAGAUGGUGAACUAUUCCUGAGCAGGAUGAAGCCAGAGGAAACUCUGGUGGAAGUCCGAAGCGAUUCUGACGUGCAAAUCGAUC
rnacentral:rRNA from 1 species